rnacentral:misc_RNA from 1 species
GGAUAUGAAUCGAAACGGAUUGGAUUCUGCAGCCUGUACGUGAUCAUUACAACAAAGAUGCUAAUGCCAAGGAUCUGUUGAAACGGGUUGAGGUUUGUAUACUUACUCUGCUUUGUUUUUCUGCCUAUGAGUAGGAUUGUUAAUUGAUUUGAGUUAAACCUGAGAACUUGACGUGUUCAGCUCAAAAAAUUCAAAUUCUUUGGGUGAACUGUGAUUAGGGGCGUAACUGAUUUGAGUCAAGUCAAUAUUUUCUGCUACUUUAGCUCAAUUUGAGUCAAUGUCUGAUGCUAUGCGUUCAGUUGUUUUUAAUAGAAU